rnacentral:rRNA from 1 species
GACGAACGCUGGCGGCGUGCUUAACACAUGCAAGUCGAACGGAAAGGCCCUGCUUUUGUGGGGUGCUCGAGUGGCGAACGGGUGAGUAACACGUGAGUAACCUGCCCUUGACUUUGGGAUAACUUCAGGAAACUGGGGCUAAUACCGGAUAGGAGCUCCUGCUGCAUGGUGGGGGUUGGAAAGUUUCGGCGGUUGGGGAUGGACUCGCGGCUUAUCAGCUUGUUGGUGGGGUAGUGGCUUACCAAGGCUUUGACGGGUAGCCGGCCUGAGAGGGUGACCGGCCACAUUGGGACUGAGAUACGGCCCAGACUCCUACGGGAGGCAGCAGUGGGGAAUAUUGCACAAUGGGCGAAAGCCUGAUGCAGCAACGCCGCGUGCGGGAUGACGGCCUUCGGUUUGUAAACCGCUUUCGCCUGUGACGAAGCGUGAGUGACGGUAAUGGGUAAAGAAGCACCGGCUAACUACGUG